AGUGAACGCUGGCGGUAGGCCUAACACAUGCAAGUCGAACGGCAGCACAGUAAGAGCUUGCUCUUACGGGUGGCGAGUGGCGGACGGGUGAGGAAUACAUCGGAAUCUACUUUUUCGUGGGGGAUAACGUAGGGAAACUUACGCUAAUACCGCAUACGACCUACGGGUGAAAGCAGGGGAUCUUCGGACCUUGCGCGAUUGAAUGAGCCGAUGUCGGAUUAGCUAGUUGGCGGGGUAAAGGCCCACCAAGGCGACGAUCCGUAGCUGGUCUGAGAGGAUGAUCAGCCACACUGGAACUGAGACACGGUCCAGACUCCUACGGGAGGCAGCAGUGGGGAAUAUUGGACAAUGGGCGCAAGCCUGAUCCAGCCAUACCGCGUGUGUGAAGAAGGCCUUCGGGUUGUAAAGCCCUUUUGGUGGGAAAGAAAAGCAGCAGGUUAAUACCCCGCUGUUCUGACGUUACCCAAAGAAUAAGCACCGGCUAACUUCGUG
rnacentral:rRNA from 1 species